GACGAACGCUGGCGGCGUGCCUAAUACAUGCAAGUCGAGCGGAACUUCGGGAGCUUGCUCCCGGGGUUUAGCGGCGGACGGGUGAGUAACACGUGGGCAACCUGCCCUGCAGAUCGGGAUAACUCCGGGAAACCGGUGCUAAUACCGAAUAGUUUCGGGUCCCUCCUGGGACCCGACGGAAAGACGGUUUCGGCUGUCACUGCAGGAUGGGCCCGCGGCGCAUUAGCUAGUUGGUGGGGUAACGGCCCACCAAGGCGACGAUGCGUAGCCGACCUGAGAGGGUGAUCGGCCACACUGGGACUGAGACACGGCCCAGACUCCUACGGGAGGCAGCAGUAGGGAAUCUUCCGCAAUGGACGCAAGUCUGACGGAGCAACGCCGCGUGAGUGACGAAGGUUUUCGGAUCGUAAAACUCUGUUGCGAGGGAAGAAACCGCACCACCUAACUAGUGGUGCCUUGACGGUACCUCGCCAGAAAGCCACGGCUAACUACGUGCCAGCAGCCGCGGUAAUACGUAGGUGGCAAGCGUUGUCCGGAAUUAUUGGGCGUAAAGCGCGCGCAGGCGGUCCUUUAAGUCUGAUGUGAAAGCCCACGGCUCAACCGUGGAGGGUCAUUGGAAACUGGAGGACUUGAGUGCAGAAGAGGAAAGUGGAAUUCCACGUGUAGCGGUGAAAUGCGUAGAGAUGUGGAGGAACACCAGUGGCGAAGGCGACUUUCUGGUCUGUAACUGACGCUGAGGCGCGAAAGCGUGGGGAGCAA
rnacentral:rRNA from 1 species